AUUCAGGCCAUUUUGGGGGCAGUGUGCAAACCUCUUGGCAGGGUGUUAUCCCUUGAUCUUCCUGGGAAACCCCUAUUGUAUGAGAACUCUGAUACGACAAGGAGCCCCAAAGCUGCCUUCAUUCCCUAUUACUUUUGUUUGCAUCAUUCCAAAGCCGGAGAUAAUGGUGGCAGUCAUUACUGGCUACGAUCCAAUCGUUUAGGAGAAGAGAAUUUAAUACCCCUCUCACACCUGAGCCCCAGCAUUCCACAGGCCAAUGGCACUUUGUAGGGCCCCACUUUGUGGCUGAAACAAGAAUGCGACUGCAGUGAAGGAUUGCCAUCAUCAUCCCGUGAAGGUGUCCUGUGCCAGUGGAGAGUUCCUUUUCAAGUUUACUCCCAUGGGAGUAGCUGUGGACUCCAGAGGGAUUGUACUGAUGGAGGCACCAGCUGCACCCCGGUAUCCGACAGCUCUGGCCCCUUCCUGCCCUGUAUCAACAGUCUGCUGAACGAGUGUAGGGACCAGAGGGACUGGCACUGGCCAUGUGGUGGUGGCUUUUGCUGAUAACCACGGAUUUAAGGCCAACGACUGCACAGGGCCCUGCCUGGCUCACAGAGGGACGGAUGUAAGGGUGAUCAGCCAAGAGGGUCUGGCCAGGAGGUGGGGUCUGACCUGGCAGCACUGAAUGUGGGCUGUGGGCAUUCCUGCUGCCUUCACUCUCCCUUCUCCCAACACUGGGGUUGCAAUUUUUGUAUCCGAUUUUGCUUUGGGGACUGAAUGGGCCUGUACUAUGGCCCAAGGACUGGUGCUGAGCUUCACCUAACCGUACCUCUACCCCCAGCCCGGGGCCAGAACUGCCUCUUACUCUCGGGCCUAAGUCCCUCUGGUUGUCUUCCUACCACCCCAUACACAUUGACAGAGACGGGCAAUACCCCACUUCUCAUAUUAAAUGUAUACACACACACAAAGCCAAGUGCAGGAUGAUACAUAUUUUAAGAGCACAUUUCCCAUUUACCAUUACUUCAUCAAAAGAGGUCUUGUCAGGGGUCUCCACUAGGAAUUGCCUGAUGGGCUUUCUACGUGUGUAAUAUGUGCAAAAACCCAUAUGGAUUAUUGCCUGAGUUUAUCUUUCAUGUUCCAAAAAACGAUAAGCAAACCAGAGAAAUAAAAAAUAAAAAAUAAA